AAAAUUUGUCAAAAAGCGAUGGCAAGCCAAGAACUACGCACACCUUCAGUCUAGUCUAAAAUAUGAAUGCUUGUAACUAUUUUGAUUAAUUAUCACUGGACUAGACUGAAGGUACUAAUAAAAUCUGGACAAGCAUAUUCUGGUUAAUCCUUUCUUCUCUUCAUAUUAUUU
rnacentral:lncRNA from 1 species